GGUGCUGCAUGGCUGUCGUCAGCUCGUGUCGUGAGAUGUUGGGUUAAGUCCCGCAACGAGCGCAACCCUCACCCUCUGUUGCUACCGGGUAAUGCCGGGCUCUCUGAGGAACUGCCGCGGAUAACGCGGAGGAAGGUGGGGAUGACGUCAAGUCCUCAUGGCCUUUAUGUCCAGGGCUACACACGUGCUACAAUGGC
rnacentral:rRNA from 1 species